AUUGUAAAACUUUUCUUCUGUCAUUUAAUGGUCGGGCAUUGUACAGCUACAAGCAUUUCACCCCCAUGUCAUACUGUGUAUGGUUGUGUGUGUGUGACAAAUAAAAUUUGAAUUUGAAUUUGAUUUAUUUAAUCUGCACAUUAGUGUGGAAAAGUCUUGAGACACCCCUCAAUUCUUUAUAUUUUGGCGGUGGGAAAUGGGAAAAUAGGUGCAGAGAUUUAUUGAAACAUGUGCAAAACAAAUGCAAAUGUAGUGCAAAAACCUCGAUUUUUACAAAUCUAGUGGACAUGAAGUCUAUGAUGCGACUACUUUUAUUUUUCGACACAGUCCAAACUCAAGCUUUUUUAUUAUUUCUUGAAGUAUUCUUCAGAAAUAGUUCUCUGCUUCUUGUUUAAUUUGGCAUACCUCCGAUUUUUCUCCCUAUUUCCCUUCCUUAACAAUGACACCCUCACAGCCAUCCGUCCACUGAGACAGCUUCUGAUGAGGGUUCAGUGAACGGUGGAUGUGUCUCUCAGGUCCCGUGUUAGGCCUUGCUGGAUUUUCUUUUUCCUGUUUUUUUUUUGUGGCUUUCAGAUGCUGUUCAUCUGCUUCAUCUACUUCAGGCUUCCCACUACCUCCAGUUUCCUAUUUUUUUUUUUUUUUAGGAAACUGCACACCAUACAGAGAUAUACAGCGAUAAGUUUUUGGUUAAUAGGUCUUUGUGAAUCACCUUGAUGGUGAAAAUACUAUUCUGUGUCUGUCAAACUCUGUUAUCAUUGGCAUUUUUGUAAAUUCAGAUAAAGAAAUGGGAACAGAUUACGUGUUUCUGUGACAUGCUUCUGGUAACAACGUGCUGAAAGACUAAUGGCUCUGUGCUAAGUUGUUAGCUGAAUAAACACAAUUCUGUUUCAUCCCUUGUGUUAAGUGCUUUUUUAUGCUUGCUUAAACCAAUAUUAAGAGGAUUAACAAACAAACAAACAAACAAAGAAAACAAAACCAUUCUUAGGUAAGAGGACUGGACUGAAAUCGAGACAAGAAAAUCUGGUUCCUUGGGAGGAAUGAGGGGUGACUCGAGUCUCCCGC
ensembl:lncRNA